CCCGCGCUUUCAGUCAUCUCCUUCACACCCCUAUCCCUCACAAACCCUAUUUUCGCCGCCACCAAAUUCCAUCGCCCUAGGGUGGCGGCGGCGCCUCCGUUCACCCCAGAAUUCACACCAUCUGUUCUCCUUCCUCUCCUAAUUUCAUAUCCACCCUUAGUUUCCUACAAAUCAUCACCCAAUUGCUCGAAUAUUAAUUUGAAAACCUCGGCCAAAAUACACUCAUCCAAAUCGGCUCAAAUUCACACCCCAUAGUCCCCAGGGCUCCCUUAUCCGCAAUCUCAAGCCAAAAGUUCUCGAAUCUUCCCAGGCAUGCACGAAGUUCGAAUCUGGUGUGAACCGUUUCGAGGGUAUGCAAUUUGGAUGGUUUUUGAUUAAUGUUAUUGGUUUAUUUUGACCAAAAUAAACCUGUAACAUUAAUCAAAACUCAAUCCAUAGUCAUUUGGUUUGAAGAACAUACUUCAAUGAGUUCUUCUCAUUUUUCGUCUUCAAUUUGCAAUUAGUUCAUUUGUUUUGUUAAGCCCAAUUGAUGGCAUUUCAUUGCAUGGGUAAUUACAUGUAUAGGUUGUUUUUAUUUCUUAUUGAUUUGAUUUUGUUUAGUCUGAAUGAUCAAAUAGUAGUUCAUUUGGUUUCAUUUUUUUUUACUGUUGAUGAGGCUUUAGUUGCAGUUAAUUGGCCUGUUUUCAUAAGUUUCUUAGUUCACUAGUAUCCAAAUUAAAUUGCUGUUAAUCCAGAAAAUUUUAGGAUUUGUUCUUGUUGAUUUUUCUUAUUUGGUCCUUCUGGAAUUAAAUUGAGUCAAUUUCAGUUGAUGAUUUGAUUUAUUAGUGGGCAAUUCAUUAAGUUAAUUGAUUUUUGAUUAUUGCAAAGUUAAUUAGGUUCAAGUUUGGAUAUAGCUGUUUAGUUCUUGUAUAACCUUAGUUAUUUUUUAACAGGGGUUAAGGGGGUUGGGUCAGUUAAUUUAAGUCUGUAAAUUUCAGAUUGUUCAAAGGGUAAUUUGGUGAUAAAAAAGGGUAGUAUUUUGAGAAAUGGUAAUUGUAAUAUAGGUUUAAGGGUAGUCUAGGAAUUUUGGAGCUAGAAGGGCAUCCUAGAAGCUCCUAGAAUAGGGCUUUAGUGCACAUUUCAAUAUAACUUAGGGAAUAACUUGGGGAACAAGGGGAAGGGGGCGUGUAAAGGGUAAAAGAAAAUCUGCAAGUGUUUCCCUUAUGUGUUCUUAUAAAUAGGUAUUUUAUGCCUUGGGGAAGCUCUUCAACCUUUUUCAGCCCUAAAAAAAUCUCAUAAGAAAAAAAAAUUUGAUUUCUUCUUUCAUUCUAGUUUUAGAUUAGCUUCAGCAUUCAGAUACACAGAAUUGAGUUGCUGUGACUUUAGACAUUCACUGGCUGAUUUUCGAGGGAUUUUUUGGAGUCCAACUAAAUUGGUUUUGGUCGAGCCUGGGUUGCUGAAGAUCUCAGUGUGUUUUGGGUUGAUUUCAAGUCUAUUUGAUUCACUUUGGUACUGUUUGGGGUCUGAUUUCCUAGUCCUGUUUGGUUCAAACUCCCUGGGUCACUACUAAUUCAGUUUUGAAUUGAAAUUAACUGUGUUUAUUGCUGGAGUUUGUUUUUCCUUUCCUUCACAGAGCCGAGGGUCGAUUUGAAACAGCAUCUCUGCCCUUUCAGGUAGGGGUAAGGCUCGUCUACAUAUUACCCUCCCCAGACCCCACUUUAUGGGACUAUACUGGAUAGUUGUUGUUGUUGUUUUAUUGCUGGAGUUCGUACCUAGUUUUGAGCUGUUAAUUCAAUUGCUGAUUCCAUUGCUGACUCUUAUUGCUACUGCUUGCUAACUGCUCCUUGUUCUGUUGAACUAUAAUUCCCAUAUACACUACUUGAACCUCACUGAUGUAUCCAUUGAAGUUUCAGUGAAGGAAUUGGAUAUUGAUUGAGGAUCAUUGAUGUUUAGCUGAUGAUUGUGUUAGCAUAUGUUUGUUAACUGUGUGUAGUUCAAUCUAGAAACUGAUUUUGGUAGUGUUCAUAGUGAUUAGUAUUAAUUUUGAUUAUGUUAUGGCUAACUAUAUAUGUUGUACUUGAAUAAAACACCUGGACCACACUAAUAUGUUUAUGGGGAUUGUCAUUGAGUAAGUCAGUGCCAAAUCUCACCUAUAUGGAAUUGAUUCUGUGAUAGUAUCAGGUUCUAGAGAUUAAUUAGUAUCCUAAUUUUGAUGAUGCUGUUGAAUGAAAAUAAAACCUUCUGAUUUUCAAUUAAAUAAGCAUAUGUAGUUCCUCUUCAUUAUACUGUUUAUAAUUUGACAUAGAUCCAUCGUAUAGGUGUUUUAACGAAAAUUGGUUAUAAUUGUGGCUUCGUUUUUUUGUGAUUGGGACUUGAUCCUACUCUGUGGCUGGGCUGUGCCAAAGCUCGUUACUUCAGUUACCCAGUUAUUGGGAUUCCAGCCUGGAUUCCAUUCCAGGCAUUCUCUUUCGUUCGGAGGAGAAAAGCUAGCCAGUCGUGGCCCAGAUUUGUUGGGCUUGAGGUUUGGGCCUGACCUGAGAAUGGUUUCCCUUAUUCAUUUUAGAGACCUCAAAAUAGAAAAUCAUAGUCAUAUUUUUAGGAUUGCCUUGUAAAUAUAGAUGAGCCUCGUCAAAAAAAUAAAUGCAGGGCCCUCGAUAAAAAUAAUAGGAAUUAAUUUAGAAUAUGAGAUGGCCAUUUAGUGAAUUUCAUGGCCUUUCAACAAAAUAAUAAUAAUACGCUAGAAUCUUUAGACGCGUUUAAUU
rnacentral:lncRNA from 1 species